CGAAGAAAUCUAUUGAACGGGAGAAGCUACUAGAAACCGAAGUUACGAUGAGGAAGUGGACGAUCCCUUUCGCCUUGCUUCUGUUAUGCCUUCUAUCUCUCAUCUCAGAUCAAGGACGGAAUUUGCAAGCAAAUGCAGAGAGUGAUCCACAGAAUCCUGUAGAUCCUCCAAAGGUUGAGGAGAAACUCGGAGCCGUUCCUAAUGGUUUAUCUACUGAUUCUGAUGUAGCAAAGAGGGAAGCGGAGUCGAUUUCAAAGAGAUCACUUCGCAGUAAUGCGCAGAAAUAUGAGUUCCAGGCCGAGGUGUCUCGGCUCAUGGACAUCAUUAUCAAUUCUCUUUACAGUAAUAAAGACAUUUUCCUCAGGGAGUUGAUCUCCAAUGCAUCUGAUGCCUUAGACAAGAUUAGAUUCCUUGCCCUUACGGACAAAGAGGUUUUGGGUGAAGGGGAUAACACAAAGCUUGACAUUCAGAUAAAGCUGGACAAACAAAACAAAAUUCUUUCAAUUCGUGAUAGAGGUAUAGGUAUGACAAAGGAGGAUUUGAUCAAGAACUUGGGAACCAUAGCAAAAUCUGGAACUUCAGCAUUUGUGGAGAAAAUGCAGACAAGUGGAGACCUCAAUCUAAUCGGACAAUUUGGUGU
rnacentral:misc_RNA from 1 species